GGUCAAGCGAAUAAGCGCACACGGUGGAUGCCUAGGCGGUCAGAGGCGAUGAAGGACGUGGUAGCCUGCGAAAAGUGUCGGGGAGCUGGCAACAAGCUUUGAUCCGGCAAUAUCCGAAUGGGGAAACCCACUGCUUCGGCAGUAUCCUGCAGCGAAUUCAUAGCUGCUGGAAGCGAACCCGGUGAACUGAAAUAUCUAAGUAACCGGAGGAAAAGAAAUCAACCGAGAUUCCCUAAGUAGUGACGAGCGAACGGGGAGCAGCCCUUAAGCUGGAAUGGCUUUAGAAAAACAAUCUGGAAAGAUUGGUCAUAGAAGGUGAUAGCCCUGUAUUUAAAAGGGCCACUCCAGUGAAGACGAGUAGGGCGGGGCACGUGAAACCCUGUCUGAAUAUGGGGGGACCAUCCUCCAAGGCUAAAUACUCCUGACCGACCGAUAGUGAACCAGUACCGUGAGGGAAAGGCGAAAAGAACCCCGGAGAGGGGAGUGAAAUAGAUCCUGAAACCGUGUGCGUACAAGCAGUAGGAGCUCGCAAGAGUGACUGCGUACCUUUUGUAUAAUGGGUCAGCGACUUACUGUUCGUGGCAAGCUUAACCGUAUAGGGGAGGCGAAGGGAAACCGAGUCUGAUAAGGGCGCAUAGUCGCGGGCAGUAGACCCGAAACCGGGUGAUCUAGUCAUGGCCAGGGUGAAGGUGCCGUAACAGGUACUGGAGGCCCGAACCCACGUCUGUUGCAAAAGACGGGGAUGAGCUGUGAUUAGGAGUGAAAAGCUAAUCGAACCCGGAGAUAGCUGGUUCUCCUCGAAAGCUAUUUAGGUAGCGCCUCAUAUGUAUCCUCUCGGGGGUAGAGCACUGUUAUGGCUAGGGGGUCAUCGCGACUUACCAAACCAUUGCAAACUCCGAAUACCGAGACGGACUGUAUGGGAGACACACGGCGGGUGCUAACGUCCGUCGUGAAAAGGGAAACAACCCAGACCCACAGCUAAGGUCCCAAAUUCACUGCUAAGUGGAAAACGAUGUGGAAAGGCAUAGACAGCCAGGAGGUUGGCUUAGAAGCAGCCACCCUUUAAAGAAAGCGUAAUAGCUCACUGGUCGAGUCGGUCUGCGCGGAAGAUUUAACGGGGCUAAGCAGUGAACCGAAGCUUGGGGUGCAUAAAACUUGUUUUAUGCGCGGUAGAGGAGCGUUCCGUAAGCCUGCGAAGGUGGAUUGAGAAGUCUGCUGGAGGUAUCGGAAGUGCGAAUGCUGACAUGAGUAACGAUAAUGCGGGUGAAAAGCCCGCACGCCGAAAGCCCAAGGUUUCCUUGCGCAACGUUAAUCGACGCAGGGUUAGUCGGUCCCUAAGGCGAGGGCGAAAGCCGUAGUCGAUGGGAAGCAGGUUAAUAUUCCUGCACCUCGCGUGAGUGCGAUGGAGGGACGGAGAAGGUUAGGUGUACCGGGCGUUGGUUGUCCCGGGGAAAGGCGGUAGGUUUGGAUCUUUGGCAAAUCCGGGAUCCUUUAAGACCGAGCACCGAGACGAGCCUUUAUGGCGAAGUCACUGAUACCACGCUUCCAGGAAAAGCUCCUAAGCUUCAGCUCACGAAGACCGUACCGUAAACCGACACAGGUGGGUAGGAUGAGAAUUCUCAGGCGCUUGAGAGAACUCGGGUGAAGGAACUAGGCAACAUGGCACCGUAACUUCGGGAGAAGGUGCACCCUUUUUGGUGGCUCAUGCGAGCUAUAGCUGAAGAGGGUCGCAGAAACCAGGCCGCUGCGACUGUUUAUCAAAAACACAGCACUCUGCAAACACGAAAGUGGACGUAUAGGGUGUGACGCCUGCCCGGUGCUGGAAGGUUAAUUGAUGGGGUCAGCCGCAAGGCGAAGCUCUUGAUCGAAGCCCCAGUAAACGGCGGCCGUAACUAUAACGGUCCUAAGGUAGCGAAAUUCCUUGUCGGGUAAGUUCCGACCUGCACGAAUGGCGUAACGACAGCGGCGCUGUCUCCACCCGAGACUCAGUGAAAUUGAAAUCGCUGUGAAGAUGCAGCGUUCCCGUGGCAAGACGGAAAGACCCCGUGAACCUUUACUAUAGCUUUACACUGAACGUUGAGUUCGUCUGUGUAGGAUAGGUGGGAGGCUAUGAAACUGUGGCGCUAGCUGCAGUGGAGCCAUCCUUGAAAUACCACCCUGUCGUGCUUGACGUUCUAACCUAGGUCCGUUAUCCGGAUCAGGGACCGUGUAUGGUGGGUAGUUUGACUGGGGCGGUCUCCUCCUAAAGAGUAACGGAGGAGCACGAAGGUACGCUCAGCGCGGUCGGACAUCGCGCACUGUGUGCAAAGGCAUAAGCGUGCUUGACUGCAAGAUCGACGGAUCAAGCAGGUACGAAAGUAGGUCUUAGUGAUCCGGUGGUUCUGUAUGGAAGGGCCAUCGCUCAACGGAUAAAAGGUACUCCGGGGAUAACAGGCUGAUACCGCCCAAGAGUUCAUAUCGACGGCGGUGUUUGGCACCUCGAUGUCGGCUCAUCACAUCCUGGGGCUGUAGUCGGUCCCAAGGGUAUGGCUGUUCGCCAUUUAAAGUGGUACGCGAGCUGGGUUCAGAACGUCGUGAGACAGUUCGGUCCCUAUCUGCCAUGGGCGUUGGAAGUUUGAGAGGGGCUGCUCCUAGUACGAGAGGACCGGAGUGGACGAACCUCUGGUGUUCCGGUUGUCACGCCAGUGGCAUUGCCGGGUAGCUAUGUUCGGAAGCGAUAACCGCUGAAAGCAUCUAAGCGGGAAGCGCGCCUCAAGAUGAGACUUCCCGGGGCACAAGCCCCCUAAAGGAACCAUGUAGACUACGUGGUUGAUAGGUCAGGUGUGUAAGUACAGCAAUGUAUUGAGCUAACUGAUACUAAUGAUCCGUGCGGCUUGACCAU
rnacentral:rRNA from 1 species